GGGGCUGUAGCUCAAUUGGUUAGAGCACCUCAUUUGCAAUGAGGAGGUUGGGAGUUCGAGUCUCCCCAGCUCCA
rnacentral:tRNA from 1 species